AAAACAAGACAUUUUUAAAUUAACCUGUGUAUUCAACAUUUUUAUUACAUUAUUUACACAUUGUUAGUUAAUUAAAGUAGACACCAAUAAGGAUAAAUAGAAGUGUCAUCCUUUCAAGAUCGUGAAAACAAAACUAGAUGUAAUAACAACAAAAUAUUCUGGACGUAAAUUAAUAAGAUCACAGUGUUGACAUACUGACUGCAUGUAGAGAGCUCAUGGGAACAUUCACAAUUGUCACUACUCUAAAUCAACAUUUCUUUAAAGGAGUAAUGGGAGUUUCACUGGUGCGCUUGGCCUUCGCGUCCUGAAAGCGAGCUGAAAGUAGACUUACAUUGUAAGUCCUCAUACUUUGUUAAACAACAUAAUAAAACACAGACACACUUUGUAUUCACAGACUUCAGUUGUCUGCUUCAUUUCCAUUGAGAUUGUACACACACAUGUCAAUACAAAAUCAAUACAAUUAUUUUCUUCUUUCUAGAUGAGUACAAUCAAGAAGCUCACAAAAUGUUCCGAGUCUAGAUUUAAAACUAAACUGAUUACUUAGAGUUUAAAGAGACUAAUUUUUUUUCUUGAUAAUACUGACCCUACCCCCCCCCCU